rnacentral:lncRNA from 1 species
GAAUGCUUCCUGGGGGCCUGCAGACCGCUUCCAUCUCUUGGCUGCCACUUUGCAGGUGCAACAGAAGGCCUAGCAAGACAGGGCGGGCUGGACCCGUGCACCCUUGUCAGCUGAUGCUUAUCAGCCUUCUCCAUGAACACUGCGUGGGAUAUCAGCUGAAAGGAAGAAGGGGUGGAAGAGGAGAGGAAACAGGAAGCCCAACAGCUCUGAGCCAGGCACAUGACAGAAUGCCUGCUGGUAAUUUGGGUGUCCCUUAGAAGACAUGUUGUGAGUAUUUCUAGUUGACCUUUCAUUUGCCUUAAGCAAGUAAUUUCUCCUUAAUCAGCACCCCCCUGUCAGUUUUCUCCCUUUAGGUGAAGACAAAGCUAUCAGUAGUGGGCACACAUGAAUGUCGAUUAAAGAACUGGGAGUCAGGCAGCCUGGCCUAAUCCACACAAGGCGAUGGAACCUGGGAAUCUCACUGAGUUUUCUAAACUGAACACUGGGAUUAUUUUUUAUCUUCUUUUCUGGAAUCUGGGAAUCUCACUGAGUUUUCUAAACUGAACACUGGGAUUAUUUUUUAUCUUCUUUUCUGCCGUAUUCCUCAUAGUUCAUUCAGUCCUGUGGGCUCUCUCCCAUGGAUCACUCUCACACAGUCCGUUUUUUUACAUCUUCCCUGUUUCGGCCUAGACUGAAGAUACAGUGAGGGUUCACCUAGAUGGCACACCUGCAGCAGUUUCCUUUGAGGCCUCGUGGUAUGCAUUCUGUCUCCCUCCCAGUCCACCUUAAAACAAUUGUGAAGGGGCAACUAUUCUGGUGUUGUGUGUUAAGCCACCGACUAUAAAACCGGCAUCCUACAAGGGCACUGGAUCAAGAAAGACCCAGAUGCUCCUUUUCCAAUCCAGCUCCCUGCUAAUGGCCUGGGAAAGCAGUGGAAGAUGUUCCAAGCGCUUGGGCCCCUGCCAUCCACAUGGGUGACCCAGAUGAAACUUCUUGCUCCUGGCUCAGCCCGGCCCAGCACAGGUCAUUGUGGCUCCAUCUGGGGAGUGAACCAGUUGGAUGGAGGAUCUCUCUCUUUCUCUGUCUCUGAAACUUCGCCUUUCAAAUAAAUAAAUACAUCUUCAAAAAAUGUAAAACA